UACGUAGGGUGCGAGCGUUAAUCGGAAUUACUGGGCGUAAAGCGUGCGCAGGCGGUUUUGUAAGCCAGAUGUGAAAUCCCCGGGCUCAACCUGGGAACUGCAUUUGGGACUGCAAGGCUAGAGUACGGCAGAGGGGGGUAGAAUUCCUGGUGUAGCAGUGAAAUGCGUAGAUAUUAGGAGGAAUACCGAUGGCGAAGGCAGCCCCCUGGGUCGAUACUGACGCUCAUGCACGAAGGCGUGGGGAGCAAACAGG
rnacentral:rRNA from 1 species